CCAGACUGGUGUGGAGCUUCGCUGUCCAAGACUGGUGGGGCACAGGGUGGGCUGCAGCUCUGCCUUUCCGCAAGGGCAGGAAGCAGUGUCGGCGUCAGCACCAAGAGUAUGGCAGAAGACAGUGGCCUAGUGCUCAGAACCCUUCCGGAACCCUGCACACAGUUGCUGAUGCUCCCAUGUGCCUGGCACAUGGCUCCUGAAAACUACAGGGACACAAGACUACCCAGAGGUUUCUCCUGAGCAGCCAUUAGCCAGCGGCAGACGGGUCUGACCCAGAGACACCAGGACUCACCACAUUGCUGUGGCCCAACCACGGGCUCAACGACCAGAGGUGCCCGAAACCACCCUGAGGAAAUGCCACAGAUUCUUUUUUGGGGGACGACUCCUUAGGAUGCUCAGAGGACCCUCUGAGCUCGUGCAGGCAGAGUUCAUGAACACUCAGAAGCACCUCUUGGCCCCAGCAGAGGUGGCCUGAACAGUGACAGCCUCCGAGCAACUCUGACAUCCACAGAGGAAGCACCAUCUCUCUAGUGGACAGGAAGCAACACAGGCAC